UACGGAGGGUGCGAGCGUUAAUCGGAAUUACUGGGCGUAAAGCGUGCGUAGGCGGUUUGAUAAGUCGGGUGUGAAAGCCCCCGGCUCAACUGGGGAGGGUCACGCGAUACUGAUCGACUCGAAGGCAGGAGAGGGUAGUGGAAUUCCCGGUGUAGUGGUGAAAUGCGUAGAUAUCGGGAGGAACACCAGUGGCGAAGGCGACUACCUGGCCUGUUCUUGACGCUGAGGCGCGAAAGCUAGGGGAGCAAACGGG
rnacentral:rRNA from 1 species